rnacentral:rRNA from 1 species
GUAGUUAGCCGUGGCUUCCUCCUUAGGUACCGUCAUUAUCGUCCCUAAAGACAGAGCUUUACAACCCGAAGGCCGUCAUCACUCACGCGGCGUUGCUGCAUCAGGGUUUCCCCCAUUGUGCAAUAUUCCCCACUGCUGCCUCCCGUAGGAGUCUGGACCGUGUCUCAGUUCCAGUGUGGCCGAUCAGCCUCUCAGCUCGGCUACCCAUCGUCGGCUAGGUGGGCUGUUAUCUCACCUACUACCUAAUGGGACGCGAACCCCUCCUUGAACAAUAAAUCUUUGACCUCAUCCCGAUGCCGGGUCGUGGUCUUAUGCGGUAUUAGCACUUGUUUCCAGGUGUUAUCCCCCAUUCAAGGGCAGGUUGUUCACGCGUUACUCACCCGUUCGCCACUCAAUUAAAGCUUCCAUCCGAAAACUUCCACUUUAACUCCGUUCGACUUGCAUGUGUUAGGCACGCCGCCAGCGUUCGUCCUGAGCCAGGAUCAAACUCUGA